GGGAUUGCCUCAGUAACGGCGAGUGAAGCGGCAACAGCUCAAAUUUGAAAUCUGGCCCUUUCGGGGUCCGAGUUGUAAUUUGUAGAGAGUGUUUCGGGCGAGACCACGGUCUAAGUCCAUUGGAACAUGGCGUCAUAGAGGGUGAGAAUCCCGUAUGCGACCGUGGCUCGAGCCCAUGUGAAGCCUCUUCGACGAGUCGAGUUGUUUGGGAAUGCAGCUCAAAAUGGGUGGUAAAUUUCAUCUAAAGCUAAAUACUGGCUGGAGACCGAUAGCGCACAAGUAGAGUGAUCGAAAGAUGAAAAGCACUUUGGAAAGAGAGUUAAACAGUACGUGAAAUUGUUGAAAGGGAAGCGCUUGCAACCAGACCUGUCCGUAGGUGAUCAGCCGCUGUUCUCAGCGGUGCACUCGCUCUGCGAUCAGGCUAGCAUCGGUUUCGGCGACCGGAUAAAGGCCUUGGGAAUGUAGCUUCCUUUCGGGGGAGUCUUAUAGCUUUCGGUGCAAUGCGGCCAGCCGGGACCGAGGACCGCGCUUCGGCUAGGAUGCUGGCGUAAUGGUUGUAA
rnacentral:rRNA from 1 species